GGUGAUCCACCCAUUUCCAUUUGCCACAACCUCAACUCUGCAUAUCAGAUAAGCAACACCAAAAGAGUACAAUACAAACAACAUUCCGAAGACUGAAGUGGAUAGAAAAAAAACCAUGGUGACUCUUUCUCUGCCUAUGCGUCAAGCCCUUACCUUCCGCUCCUUUCCCAUUUACUCUGCAAUUUCUUCAAACAUCUGUGGACGACAGGGAGGAAUCGGGUAGCUAUAUUUUCGUGUGCUAGUGGUGAUCCUGGGCAGCGGGAUAGGAACCUCCGGCGGAGAAGGAAGGUGGUGGAACACAUAUGUCUGCUCAAAGCAAACAAGUAUUUAUCCUAUGAUCAAGAGAAGGAUAUGCUGGAUUAUCUUUACACAUCUCAAUAUCAGAUGCGUGGAAUUGUUGCAGUAUCUUUGGGCCAAAUAUCUGGUCAAACUAAAGAAGAUUUUACUCAUGCUGUCUUCAUGCGUUUCCAAAGUAAGGAAGACCUUACAAAAUUCUAUGAGAACCCUUUCUACCUGCAAGUUCUGAAGGAGCAUGUAGUGCCUAACUGCCAUGUAUGCCCUGACAUGGACUAAUGAAUGUGGAUUAUGAAUCUGAAGUGGAAGACGAUAUACUUCCUAUAUUUCGUAAAGGAGAGGUUACAUGCAACAUACCCUCUGAUCUCCAUUGAUAUCAUGAACUUUGCUUCUACAAGUUUCUUCUUUGAGUCAACAGAGAAUAAUACUUGUCCUUCUUUUUCUGAUACAGGUUUAGGAUAUCUAAUCAUUAGAUGCUGAAAAAUGAAUAUAUGUUCAGAAUGGAUUUGUUUUAUUUAAUUUACAGCUUGCAAGAAAUACGUUAUGCUUCUCACUACCAGUUUCUGAGUUCUUCUUAUAACUUCUGAAAUAGAUUAAUUUGCUUUUGGUGACAGGACUUCAACUAUGGUAUAGAGUUUGUGCUUCUGAUUGUAUUUGUUGAGGCUGCAAUCAGUGGACCAGCAGAAGAUGCAUUGACAUCUCUUCAAGAGCUUACUAUGGAAUUUCCAUGCUUAAUUGUCCAAUGCACUCAAGGUUCAAACUUCAAUUUUAGCAGUGAGGAUUAUACACAUGGUGUUGUGAUACGGUUUCGAUCUCGUGAGGCCUUUGAGAUAUUUUUUACCAGCUCAAGAUACAGAGAUGUGUGGAAAUCUAAAUUCCAACCAAUAGCCAGGAAAACACUAGCCAUUCAUUUUUCUGUUGAUCCAGUGGGCACUGAGAUAAUGUAGUAAGAAUCCAUUACUUUUACUUUUUGCAUUCCUGAUGCUGCAAGUAGACAUAUGCGUGAGAAUAAAAUAGAAUGGUUGCACAGGUUUGUAACACAUCCCAACUUCCUUCUCCCUUCUCUCCUCACCUAACUAAACUGCUGUUCAUUUUGUUUCUUCUUUCUCCCUGCCUUUACUAUAUCUUGAGUUGUAUCUUGGGUGGGUGGUUGUCUUUUUCAGAUCCAUUUGGUUCAAGGUGUGACUUUAGCUUGGUUUUUUUCCUUUUGUUGGGAAUUUUGUCAUUAGAUCUCUUUAAUAAAAUUGCUUUUUGCUUUUCAAAAAAUAUAUAUUUGACUGCUACAAUAUUAUGAAAAUGUGUUUGUAGUUCACCGGUACUCUUUUAAAUAGACCAAUUGGUAGUUGAUUAAUGAUAUUAGUAAGGCUUUACCAGAUCUUUAGUAAAUUGAGCUCCCACCUAAAUUUGUCACGGAUUUUAUAUCAUUUCAUGACUGGUACAGUCCAAGAUCUUUCCCCGUGCACAUUCUUAUUCUACUAUUUUCUUCAAUUAGAUUAAAUGACUUAGUUAGAUAUGAGUUCCAACACAAUACUUGUCUAAAGUUUAUUUGGUUAGAGACGAUAGGGUAACAAGGACAUUCUUUGCAGGGUAUUCUUGGAGAAAUGAUGCAAGUUUCAGCCAAUAUUGCUUAAAGGGUAUUAUUCAUGGUGAUGAACCUCAAGAAAUAUUGCUUCAAGGGUACAGGACAUCAAUUUCACUAUGACAUUUUUAUGUAUUCUCGUAAUUGCAGAUGCAAAAAGUUGAUUUAUUUUAUCGUUGUCCUUAACUAAACAAUUUCUUGUGUUAUGCAUCUGAGGUUGAAUAACACUUUGCAUUAAAAUGUUAUGUGGUUCACGACUUCAUUUUGGUUACAAUUGAAUAUUUUUAAUUUUUU